rnacentral:misc_RNA from 1 species
GAUGAAGAACGUAGCGAAAUGCGAUAAGUAAUGUGAAUUGCAGAAUUCAGUGAAUCAUCGAAUCUUUGAACGCAUCUUGCGCUCCUUGGUAUUCCGAGGAGCAUGCCUGUUUGAGUGUCAUUAAAUUCUCAACUACACUGAUUUUUUUUGGUUGGUGUAGAUUGGAUUUGGGGGGAUUUUUUGCGGGCUUUGUAAAAUGAAGUCGGCUCCCCUGAAAUUGAUUAGCGGUACCUUUGUGGAACUGUCUACAGGUGUGAUAAUUAUCUACAUCUUAGACAUCUGCUGGAAUGCUGCUUUCUAAACCUUACUUGUAUUGACAAUCUUGACCUCAAAUCAGGUAGGACUACCCGCUGAACUUAAGCAUAUCAAUAAGCGGAGGA